rnacentral:rRNA from 1 species
AGUGAACGCUGGCGGUAGGCCUAACACAUGCAAGUCGAACGGCAGCACAGUAAGAGCUUGCUCUUACGGGUGGCGAGUGGCGGACGGGUGAGGAAUACAUCGGCAUCUACUUUUUCGUGGGGGAUAACGUAGGGAAACUUACGCUAAUACCGCAUACGACCUACGGGUGAAAGCAGGGGAUCUUCGGACUUUGCGCGAUUGAAUGAGCCGAUGUCGGAUUAGCUAGUUGGCGGGGUAAAGGCCCACCAAGGCGACGAUCCGUAGCUGGUCUGAGAGGAUGAUCAGCCACACUGGAACUGAGACACGGUCCAGACUCCUACGGGAGGCAGCAGUGGGGAAUAUUGGACAAUGGGCGCAAGCCUGAUCCAGCCAUACCGCGUGGGUGAAGAAGGCCUUCGGGUUGUAAAGCCCUUUUGUUGGGAAAGAAAAGCAGCAGGUUAAUACCCCGCUGUUCUGACGGUACCCAAAGAAUAAGCACCGGCUAACUUCGUG